rnacentral:snoRNA from 1 species
AGGACAAUAAUGAACAGCAGAGGGCUUAAUACUGAGCCCUGAUGGACACCUACUUUGACC